ACUUUGUAAAGGCUGGUGACAUCUAGUGGAAGCAAUAGGAAGUGCCAAAAUAUUCCUAAACCCCUGUGUUUUUCAAUGGGAUAGGUUUAAAGUCAAUACAACACAUCAGGUAUCCACUUCCUGUCAGAAAAUGUCUCAGGGUUUUGCCUGCCAAAUGAGUUCUGUUAUACUCACAGACACCAUUCAAACAGUUUUGGAAACUUUAGAGUGUUUUCUAUCCAUAUAUAAUAAGUAUAUGUAUAUUCUAGUUACUGGGUAGGAUUAGUAACCAGAUUAAAUCGGGUACAUUUUUUUUAUCCAGACGUGCAAAUGCUGCCCCCUAGACCCAACAGGUUAAAACAUAUGAUUGUGUGCCUCUGCCCUGUUUGGUUUUGUUCAUAACCAGUUCUGUAUUUUAUAGUCAUCUUACCUGGACUUAUUAGUUCCUGAGUUGCUUGACUCGUUCAGAGUUCCUCUCAAAGGGGACAGUGUAAAACUGCUUCAUCCUGACUUGAUGCUGUUUCAGGACUCUAGAAAUAUUGUUAUGCUUACAUUGUCUGCCAACACUCGUCCCGAAUCUCUGUGAGUUUAUUGCCAUUCUUUCUGAUGACCAUAGCAACGAUUGCAGUUUCCUGCACAGCAGUGAAAAUCCUACCUCUCCUGCCUGUGGGAGGUAACCGUUGGGUCCUAAGCAGAAAUGCAAAAACAAUUACAAAUACACACAAGUAGGUUUGGAGGCUUUCCUCAAUUUACUUCUGUAAUGUGCAGUUCAGUCAGAUGCCCUUGCAGAAUGCACAUCUUACAUGUUGUUUUGACGGAAAUUUCUCAGAAUAGAUGCCACUGUUAAGUUUCAUCCACAUAGCAAUGAUAGGAGAGACCAUGUGAGGAUAUGACAGAGCCGAGUGACUUGGUGUAAAGAGAAAAGAGGAGUGGGCCUAGAACAAAUCCCUGGGGGACACCAAUAGUGAGAGCACAUGGUGCAGACACAGAUCCUCUCCACACCACCUGGUAGGAGCGACUUGCUAGGUGGAAUACAAUCCAGAAGUGUGCAGAGCCUGAGACGCCCAAAUGAGAGGGUGGAGAGGAGGAUCGGAUGAUUCACGGUGUCGGAAGCAGAUGGAAAGCAGUCUCAGUAAAGUGAGCCAUUUUGAAGCCUGACUGGUUAGGGCCAAGAAGAUCAUUCUGAGAGAGAUUAUGAGAGAGUUGUUCAGAUAUGGCAUCCUCAAGUGUUUUGGAAAGAAAAAAAGGAAGGUAUACCGGUCUGUAGUUUUUGACGUCAGAGGUGUUGAGUGUUGGUUUCUUGAGGAGGGGAGCGACUCUGGCAAUCUUGAAGUCAGAAGGGACGCAGCCAGUGGUCAGGGAUGAGUUGAUGAGGGAAGUGAGGAAUGGGAGGUCUCUGGAGAUAUUCUGGAGAAGGGAGGAGGGGAUGGGAUCGAACGGGCAGGUUGUCAGGCUGCCGGACGUCAUUAGCCACAGGAUGUCAUCUGGAGAGAGAGUGGAGAAGGAGGUCAAGGUUCAGGGUAGUUCUGUGUGAGUGGGACCAGUGGACUCAAUAGGCUGGGGGAAUGAGGAGCGGAUGUCAUCUGGAGAGAGAGGUCAAGGUUCAGGGUAGUUCUGUGUGAGUGGGACCAGUGGACUCAAUAGGUUGAGUGAAUGAGUAGCGGAUGUCGUCAAUGUUUAUUUUUCAAAGUGGUCGGCAGAGAUGGAGGAGGGACAAGGUGGAGGAUUAAGGAUGGAGGAGAAAGUGGAAAACAGUUUUCUAGGGUUGGAGGCAGAAGCUUGAUUUUUUUGUUGUUGUGACAGGCAAUCCAGAAUCCAGUUUUGAGAAACGUGGAUAAACAUCUGAUUCAGAAGUGAGACUAUGAGACCUAGUUGCCCUGCAGCUUUGCCAAACUUGAGGUGUCAUGCCCAAGAAGAAUCAAUGCUGUAAUCAAUGCCAAAGGUGCUUCAAAGGUAUAAUCACUGUCAAAGUACUGAGUAAAGUGUCUGAAUACUUAUGUAAAGGUAAUAUUAAAAAAAAAACAUUUUGAAAACAUUUCUGAAAACCUGUUUUUGCUUUGUGGUAUUGUGUGUAAAUUGAUGAGGGGGAGAAAAUAUUGAAUACAUUUUAGAAUAAAGCUGUAACGUAACAAAAUGUGUAAAAAGUCAAGGGGUCUGAGUACCUUCCGAAUACACGCACAUUCACACCCUGUUACACUCAUUAUUUUCUGCUGCUACUCUGAUCAUUAUUUUACCAGAAUGAUUAUCUAUCCAAAUCCCUAGUCACUUUACCCAGCCUUAAUGUACAUUACUGUCAUAGGGGUCGUUGAAUGGAGACCAAGGCGCAGCGUGUAUAGUGCUCAUUAUUUGUCUUUAAUGAAUACACUUUAACAACAAAACAACAAAAACGACCAACAACAGUCCCGUCAGGUACACUAGACUAAACGGAAACAAUUAC
rnacentral:lncRNA from 1 species